rnacentral:rRNA from 1 species
ACGUAGGAGACAAACGUUAUCCGGAGUUACUGGGCGUAAAGGGCGUGUAGGCGGACUGUUAAGUCUGGCGUGAAAGCUCCCGGCUAAACCGGGAGAGGUCGUUGGAUACUGGCAGACUAGAGGGUGGUAGAGGCGUGUGGAAUUCCGGGUGUAGUGGUGAAAUGCGUAGAGAUCCGGAGGAACACCAGUGGCGAAGGCGACACGCUGGGCCGUACCUGACGCUGAGGCGCGAAGGCUAGGGGAGCGAACGGGA